GAUGAAGAACGUAGCGAAAUGCGAUAAGUAGUGUGAAUUGCAGAAUUCAGCGAAUCAUCGAAUCUUUGAACGCACAUUGCGCCCCUUGGUAUUCCAUGGGGCAUGCCUGUUCGAGCGUCAUUUGUACCUUCAAGCUCUGCUUGGUGUUGGGUGUUUGUCUCGCCUCUGCGUGUAGACUCGCCUCAAAACAAUUGGCAGCCGGCGUAUUGAUUUCGGAGCGCAGUACAUCUCGCGCUUUGCACUCAUAACGACGACGUCCAAAAGUACAUUUUUACACUCUUGACCUCGGAUCAGGUAGGGAUACCCGCUGAACUUAAGCAUAUCAAUAAGCGGAGGA
rnacentral:misc_RNA from 1 species